rnacentral:lncRNA from 10 species
CUUUUUACUCUGUGGAGAGUGAGCCCGCGGACUGUAGCCUGGGCCUCGCCAAGUUCCUUUGUUCUUUGUUUUCUUUAAAUUACCUUUUUUCUUUUUGUCUUAAAAAAUACACAUGGGUGAAAAAGAAACGAGAGCUCCCUAGAGAUCACUCAGAGCUGUUUUCGUGGGUUUUUAACUUCCAGUUGCUCAAGGGUCCACGCUGGCAUCUGGGGUGUGCUCGCACCUGCGAAGAAUCCAGCUUCUAGGGAGCACCGCGAGCUGUUCUUUGUUCAACACGCCAAGAACCUGGACACUCUUCACUGGUAACAUAUUUUGGCAAGCCAACCAGGAGCGCCUAGACACGGAGGCGACUGCAGGUUUCUGGCCGGGGGCUACUCUCCAGUGCUGCCUUGAAGGCCAAGGAGUGAAUGGGGAUAGUUGCCCUGCCCAGAAGCGGGAAGGGCUCUUUUCUGUCUUUUCUGGUUGUGGUCCCUGAUCCCUAUGUGUGACGCAGCUUCUCCAGGGCGAACUCACACGUGUUUCA